CACGUAGGGGGCGAGCGUUGUCCGGAAUUACUGGGCGUAAAGGGCGCGCAGGCUGUUAUGCGAGUCUGCUGUGAAAUGUACCGGCUCAACCGGUGCCUUGCGGCGGAUACUGCAUAGCUGGAGUACUGGAGAGGGAAGUGGAAUUCCCGGUGUAGCGGUGAAAUGCGUAGAUAUUAGGAGGAACACCGGUGGCGAAGGCAGGUCUCUGGGCAGUAACUGACGCUGAGGAGCGAAAGCAUGGGUAGCGAACAGGAUUA
rnacentral:rRNA from 1 species